CCCUUAGAUGUUCUGGGCCGCACGCGCGCUACACUGAUGCAUUCAACGAGUCUAAAACCUGCUCUGAUAGGGGUGGGUAAUCUUUUGAAUGUGCAUCGUGAUUGGGAUAGAUGAUUGCAAUUUUUCAUCUUCAACGAGGAAUGCCUAGUAAACGCAAGUCAUCAGCUUGCAUUGAUUACGUCCCUGCCCUUUGUACACAACGCCCGUCGCUCCUACCGAUUGAAUGAUCCGAUGAAUAUCAUGGAUUGAGGAUGCAAGUAGGUUCGCCUAUCUUCAUCUUCGAGAAGUGAAGUAAAUCUUAUCAUUUAGAGGAAGGAGAAGUCGUAACA
rnacentral:rRNA from 1 species